GAUGAACGCUAGCGGCAGGCCUAAUACAUGCAAGUCGAACGGUGUCUUCGGACAUAGUGGCGCACGGGUGCGUAACACGUAUGCAACCUACCUUACAUUGGGGGAUAGCCUUUCGAAAGGGAGAUUAAUACCGCAUAAGACAGUAGCUGGGCAUCCAGCAGCUGUUAAAGAUUUAUCGAUGUAAGAUGGGCAUGCGUCCAAUUAGUUAGUUGGCGAGGUGACGGCUCACCAAUGCUUUGAUUGGUAGGGGAACUGAGAGGUCAAUCCCCCACACUGGCACUGAGCUACGGGCCAGACUCCUACGGGAGGCAGCAGUAGGGAAUAUUGGGCAAUGGACGCAAGUCUGACCCAGCCAUGCCGCGUGCAGGAUGAAGGCGUUAUGCGUUGUAAACUGCUUUUAUACAGGAAGAAACGACUCUUGCGAGAGGCAUUGACGGUACUGUAUGAAUAAGCACCGGCUAACUCCGUGCCAGCCGCCGCCGUAAGAC
rnacentral:rRNA from 1 species